AUUUAUUUACCGAAGCGAUGCAACGAAGCUAAACAUGAUAUAUAACAAAUCAUCAAGCUAAAGAAAAGACGCUGCUUGCACGACUCUUUAUUGGGGAAGAAGGUGUUUCAUUUUUCAUACCAGUGAACCAGAAUUGGCUGGAUGUUCGAAGUGUCAGGAAUUUGUCUAAUAUCUUUAAUUGUUGCUUCAAGACGGAUGAAAUAAACUAGUGUCGAACUAAUUGUCCAAUAGAUGCUGCAAAGGAACGCGCCCCAUGUAUGAUAUUUCAAAAUGACCAACCGGUUCCUCCCGGAAAUCGAUGGCUCCUAGCAGAACGAAUGUGUUAUUGUGCAGGGGUUAACAAAUUGAUGAGACGACUUGAAACAUGCUUUUCGGAAACCUUGUUAUUCAAGGACUACGUGAAUAGCUUGACCAAUGAAAACAAAAUUGAUCAUGUAGUGUACAAGUGGAUUCACUUGAGCUGAUAUAAAUAACAUAGUCGAUCUGUUAAGAGCCGAUAUUGAUGGAGCAGAAGUGGUUUCGAUAAAUAAUUUGGAGAAAGCUUGAUAUAAGGUUAUAACGAUAUAUACGAGAUAAAGGAAUCGCACAAUCAUGUCAUGCGGGCCAUCGCUGGACAAUACCGCGAAAAUCAAACAGGAGGAAGGCUAUCAAGUCACCAAUCAGCACCUGUGGUUCAAAAUAUAAUCCAAAUUUGAUGAUACGAAGGAAUUGAAGUAUGGACAUCACAUCAACGCAAUGUUAUUGUCGUUAAAUCUAUAAGGGAGAUCACGAUCGAAGCAAUCGAAGA